GAUGAACGCUGGCGGCGUGCCUAAUACAUGCAAGUCGAGCGAACAGCCGUGGAGCUUGCUCCUCUGAAGUUAGCGGCGGACGGGUGAGUAACACGUGGAUAACCUAUCUAUAACACUGGGAUAACUUCGGGAAACCGGAGCUAAUCCCGGAUUAUAUCUUGAACAGCACGGGUCAAUACUUCUAGACGUGUUUGCAGUCACUUAUAGAUAGAUUCGCGCCGCAUUAGCUAGUUUGUAAGGUAGCGGCUUAGCAAGGCAACGAUGCGUACACGACCUGAGAGGAAGGACGGCCAGACUGGAACAGAGGCACGGUCCAGACUCCUACGGGAGGCAGCAGUAGAGAAUCCUCCGCGAUGGGCGAGAGCCUGACAGUGCAACGCCGCGUGAGUGAUGAAGGUCUACGGAUCGGAGAACUAUGUUAUUAGGGAAGAACAAAUGUGUAAGUAACUAGGCACGUCUUGACGGUACCUAAUCAGAAAGCCACGGCUAACUACGUG
rnacentral:rRNA from 1 species